rnacentral:lncRNA from 1 species
UUAAUUUAUAAAGAUUUGGAGCCAUGAACGAAAGUAAAGUUCUCUGGUCCCUCAAACAAAUUGGAUUCUUUGUUUCAUUUGUAGCCCAUGUGAAAUACAAACAAGACUGUAGCCAUAUUCUCCCUGUAGUAUUGAUACACAGAUAUUAUUUGGACUAAUCUUGUGGGGUAUUAAAUUAAAGGAUACAAUGAAAGUGCAUCACUCUUUUACCUCAACUUGGAACAUCAAAAGCAAAGAAUCAGUCCCUUCAUACAUUUUCAAUGUGAGGCUUCUGUAUUUCUUGGACUUAUCCCUUCAACUUACUACAUCGAACCUAAUAACUAUGUACAACAAUAAACCUAGUUUUAUUCUCAAUAAACAAAGAGUCUCCAUCUACACAAAACCAUUUUCCCACUCUGUGAAGUACCAAAAAAACGUAGGAAUACGUUUUUGUCAUAAGGUUUGAUCGUCAACCUACCACAACUUUCUUCCAUUUUUGAGUUUAGGUCUGGCUAUGAUUACUAGUCCGUGUUUAACGUCUUGUGCUUAUGGUCGAUGAUUUGGCAGGGUCACUGGUCUGGUCUUUUGUUUAGAAGACAAAAGCAGAGCAAAUGAUAGAGAUGUGAGGAAGCAAUGAAAAGAUGCUUAGCUUCUUGAGGGUCUUGUUCCAAUUACCUUUAUUCAUCUUACUCAGAUUCUUUUAUAACACUUUGCUUAGAUUUGCAUAUUUAUGAUAGAGGUGAAUCUAAAACUCUAUUAAGAUAUUGUCUUAUGAUAUAUAUCAAGGAAUGGAACAUAGGAACUCAAGGACACCACCAUAUCUUUUAGUAUUCUUAACAUAAGAGACAUUUUCAUUCCUCUUCUUCCCUCAAGAAAGUCAUGGUUCUUUAUGUUUAUAGGGCAUUUUUAUUAUUCAUCUGUCUAGGAUUAUUAGUGUUUCAUCCAAUUGAAGUUUGUGGCUUGACAAGUAUAGAUCUUGCUCUUAGACGAAGUAAAGAUCAUCAGCUGAUGGUAAAGAAUCAGAGCAUCAGUAUACGUAUACUCGAAGCAGUUGUCAUGAACGGCAGGAAUACAGAUAAGAAACCGGCACCUCUAAAUCAGACAUUUGAUCCAUACCGAAUGAGAAAAAGAAGAGUUCCAAGAGGAUCAGAUCCGAUCCAUAACAAGGCUUGAUAUAAACAAGGCAUCUCUUUGCCAUAAGACGAGCAAGGCAGUUGAAAACAAUUGGAGAGUACAAAGGACAAGAUUUCUCAACUGUCCAUCAAAACCAGAGGAAGAACAGACCAGAAUAUAGUUUGUUUUCAACUUUUCAAGAUAUGAUCAGUGUGGCUUCAUUAUUUCUUGGGUUUCUCCCAGAUAAGACUUAAGAGGGUGCUUUGUUUUCCUUAUUCCCAUUCUAAUGCCAGUCUUUUUAUCGCUGAACAUUUGAAAAAUGUUUGCUAUACAGUACUAAAUGAGAUUGGAUAGGUGUAAUGGACAACAUUCUUUUUCUUUUUUUCUUUUUUAGCUUUCUAUUGUUCCUAGAUAUUGUUUGGUACUGUGUAAUCUGCCUUAUUGGGGUUUUUUAUUCCUUAAUUAUUAUUAUUAAAACAUUUCUCCCCAAAAUCCAUUAAAAAUAAGUUUUUGACAAGAGUUUUAGCUCUGUGAAGACUGUCCCUCAAAUAAACUGAAAUUAGAAUGCAACCUUAAUGUAGAACAACAGGCAAACUGUAUAAUAGCAUAAAGACA